GUUCUCAUUUCGGCAGCACAUAUACUAAAAUUGGAACAAUGCAGAGAAGAUUAGCAUGGCCCCUGUGCAAGGAUAACAUGCAAAUUUGUGAAGCGUUCCAUAUUUUU
rnacentral:snRNA from 1 species